rnacentral:rRNA from 1 species
UACGUAGGGUGCAAGCGUUGUCCGGAAUUAUUGGGCGUAAAGAGCUCGUAGGCGGUCUGUCGCGUCGGCUGUGAAAACCCGAGGCUCAACCUCGGGCCUGCAGUCGAUACGGGCAAACUAGAGUACUGCAGGGGAGACUGGAAUUCCUGGUGUAGCGGUGAAAUGCGUAGAGAUCAGGAAGAACACCCGUGGCGCAAGCGGCCACCUGGCCAAGAGCUGACGCUGAGGCACGAGAGCCGUGGGGAGCAAACGGG